rnacentral:rRNA from 1 species
GACGAACGCUGGCGGCGUGCUUAACACAUGCAAGUCGAGCGGGUAAGGCCCUUUCGGGGGUACACGAGCGGCGAACGGGUGAGUAACACGUGGGUGACCUGCCCUUCAGCUCUGGGAUAAGCCUGGGAAACUGGGUCUAAUACCGGAUAUGACUCCAUGACGCAUGUUGUGGGGUGGAAAGCCUUGUGCGGCUGAGGAUGGGCCCGCGGCCUAUCAGCUUGUUGGUGGGGGAUGGCCACCAAGGCGACGACGGGUAGCCGGCCUGAGAGGGCGACCGGCCACACUGGGACUGAGACACGGGCCCAGACUCCUACGGGAGGGCAGCAGUGGGGAAUCCUGCGCAAUGGGCGAAAGCCUGACGC